GAUGAACGCUGGCGGCGUGCCUAAUACAUGCAAGUCGAGCGAACAGACGAGGAGCUUGCUCCUCUGACGUUAGCGGCGGACGGGUGAGUAACACGUGGAUAACCUACCUAUCAGACUGGGAUAACUUCGGGAAACCGGAGCUAAUACCGCAUAAUAUAUUGAACCGCAUGGUUCAAUAGUGACAGACGGUUUUGCUGUUACUUAUAGAUGGAUCCGCGCCGCAUUAGCUAGUUGGUAAGGUAACGGCUUACCAAGGCAACGAUGCGUAGCCGACCUGGAAGGGUGAUCGGCCACCUUGGAACUGAGACACGGUCCAGACUCCUACGGGAGGCAGCAGUAGGGAAUCUGCCGCAAUGGGCGAAAGCAUGACGGAGCAACGCCGAGUGAGUGAUGAAGGUCUUCGGAUCGUGAAACUCUGUUAUUAGGUAAGAACAAAUGUGUAAGUAACUAUGCACGUCUUGACGGUACCUAAUCAGAAAGCCACGGCUAACUACGUG
rnacentral:rRNA from 1 species